CGCUAUGACUCCUACGGGGAGGCAGCAGUAGGGAAUCUUCCACAAUGGGCGCAAGCCUGAUGGAGCAACACCGCGUGAGUGAAGAAGGGUUUCGGCUCGUAAAGCUCUGUUGUUUAAAGAAGAACACGUAUGAGAGUAACUGUUCAUACGUUGACGGUAUUUAACCAGAAAGUCACGGCUAACUACGUGCCAGCAGCCGCGGUAAUACGUAGGUGGCAAGCGUUAUCCGGAUUUAUUGGGCGUAAAGAGAGUGCAGGCGGUUUUCUAAGUCUGAUGUGAAAGCCUUCGGCUUAACCGGAGAAGUGCAUCGGAAACUGGAUAACUUGAGUGCAGAAGAGGGUAGUGGAACUCCAUGUGUAGCGGUGGAAUGCGUAGAUAUAUGGAAGAACACCAGUGGCGAAGGCGGCUACCUGGUCUGCAACUGACGCUGAGACUCGAAAGCAUGGGUAGCGAACAGGAUUAGAUACCCUGGUAG
rnacentral:rRNA from 1 species